UACAGAGGGGGCAAGCGUUAUUCGGAAUUAUUGGGCGUAAAGGGCGCGUAGGCGGCCUGGCAAGUGGAAGGUGAAAUCCCUCGGCUUAACCGAGGAACUGCCUCCCAAACUGCUUGGCUUGAGACCGGGAGAGGUGAGUGGAAUUCCCAGUGUAGCGGUGAAAUGCGUAGAUAUUGGGAGGAACACCAGUGGCGAAGGCGGCUCACUGGACCGGUACUGACGCUGAGGAGCGAAAGCCAGGGGAGCAAACGGG
rnacentral:rRNA from 1 species